GACGAACGCUGGCGGCGUGCUUAACACAUGCAAGUCGAACGGAAAGGCCCUGCUUGCAGGGUACUCGAGUGGCGAACGGGUGAGUAACACGUGGGUGAUCUGCCCUGCACUUCGGGAUAAGCCUGGGAAACUGGGUCUAAUACCGGAUAGGAGCCAUUUUUAGUGUGAUGGUUGGAAAGUUUUUUCGGUGUAGGAUGAGCUCGCGGCCUAUCAGCUUGUUGGUGGGGUAAUGGCCUACCAAGGCGGCGACGGGUAGCCGGCCUGAGAGGGUGGACGGCCACAUUGGGACUGAGAUACGGCCCAGACUCCUACGGGAGGCAGCAGUGGGGAAUAUUGCACAAGGGGCGCAAGCCGGAUGCAGCGACGCCGCGUGGGGGAUGACGGCCUUCGGGUUGGAAACUCCUUUCGCUAGGGACGAAGCUUUUUGUGACGGUACCUAGAGAAGAAGCACCGGCUAACUACGUG
rnacentral:rRNA from 1 species